rnacentral:rRNA from 1 species
GUGGGGAAUAUUGGACAAUGGGCGAAAGCCUGAUCCAGCCAUGCCGCGUGUGUGAAGAAGGUCUUCGGAUUGUAAAGCACUUUAAGUUGGGAGGAAGGGCAGUAAGUUAAUACCUUGCUGUUUUGACGUUACCGACAGAAUAAGCACCGGCUAACUUCGUGCCAGCAGCCGCGGUAAUACGAAGGGUGCAAGCGUUAAUCGGAAUUACUGGGCGUAAAGCGCGCGUAGGUGGUUUUGUAAGUUGGAGGUGAAAUCCCCGGGCUUAACCUGGGAACUGCCUCCAAAACUGCAUGACUAGAGUACGGUAGAGGGUAGUGGAAUUUCCUGUGUAGCGGUGAAAUGCGUAGAUAUAGGAAGGAACACCAGUGGCGAAGGCGACUACCUGGACUGAUACUGACACUGAGGUGCGAAAGCGUGGGGAGCAAACAGGAUUAGAAACCCUGGUAGUCC